ensembl:lncRNA
ACAACUGUAGAUAAGUGUUACUCUUGAUUGAUUCUCAUGCAGUGAAUCAUUUUCACCCUUCUACUUGCCCAAGCUUGCUUCAACUAAGGAAGCUGUCAUGUGAAAACACCCUUAGUUGCCUCAGACAGGUGACCUUCACAUUGCAUUACUGGUUGAUAGCCCCAUUGACCCUAAGUUCCUUUGAGGACUCUUCCUGUUACGAGAAGGGUCUUGCAGGCAGAUGUCCAGAUUUUAAGACAAGGUUGUCCUUGUCCUGGAGAGAAGUCACAAUUAAUCAAGAUUACAGGUGGAAAUGCAUCCCAACAGCAGGAGGUGCUUCUUUCCAUUGCACACCAGCCAAACCAGCUCACCACAUUCAUUCAUCAUGCCUGAGCACUGACCCCAUGUCUUGAGGGCAAAAAUGGUCCAGACCGAGGGAGACAAUGAAGAUGGGAGAGACAAAGAUGGCAAACUAGAUUAAGAAACGCAAACACUGGGGUCAUGCAGGGUUUUCCUGCAGACAGGGACAUUAAUAAACCUGAAACUGCACUGAGCUCUGAUGAUGAGCUUAACUUGCACUGGGAGAUGCACAAAUGCCACAUUGCUGAUGAUAUUUAUCAAUUGAUAGCUGUGAAUUAUCCCACACUGAGAUCAAAGGAAGACACUGGGGGAGGACAGUAAUUUAUACUCCCUCAGAAGUCAUUUCAUUUCUUUGCAUUUUCCCAUUUAAGGUGACGUAGCUUUUGAUAAGGGGAACAGGCCUGAGAAACUGUAAUUACGACACUAAAGGUCAGCAUGGUGCAGUAUCUUUGAACACAUUUGGACUAUCAUUAGUCUGAAAGUGAUAGUGGGUUACGAACUGUGAGCGUAUCAUUGUAAAUGGCCGAGCUACUUAGCUGUCUCUGAGCGACUGUAGAUUGUCCUCAGUGGAAUGUGUGUGUGGACAGAAAACUGUGUAUUGUGGUCUUUCAACAGCUAAAGGUGCUAUUAGAGGAACAGAUAAAUAUGCUAGUGAAUAUCUUAGCUACCUUUCACUUUGAUUCAGACCUCAGUUGACCUGUUUGUUCCAGAAUAUGUUCUUGUUUUCUUAACCAUUUGCAUGAUUUUUCUGUCUUGUUGAGAAGUCGUUUAAAAAAAAAAUGGCAUUGAACUAUUGAAUCUGCAUUGAACUGUCUUGAGCUGAAUAAUGACACUAUUGUCUUCUGUAGAGCUGCUUUACAGCUGAAACUGAAUUAGUUUCAUAAUUGCUGAAUUUUUCCUGUUUGUUUCUUUCAAGCUGCUUUGAAACUAUCUGCAUUACAUAAAGCACUAUUAAAAUAAAUGUGACUUGAUUCGACUUGCAGUGUGACUUAUGAACAGUACUUUUUAGUGAAUUAAACACAUACAGCGCAACCAGUGUAGCCGGAUUCCUGAAUGAUCGACUGUACUUUGGUGAAUCAAAACUAUACUAUGUAACCAUUUGAUCUGAUUACAAUAAAUGAAUCAUAGUGAGUUGGUUCUUUUUAAAGAAGAAAACUUAUUCAACUUACAAAUAACUGUGAAACAUAGGUUGAAUUAAAUGUGUUACUGACUGGUUGUGUAUAUAAGAACAUGUAGUUGAAGACACUAAUUGCUUAUAUACAUACAUACAUAUAUAUAUAUAUAUAUAUAUACCAUCAUUUAAUACCAACUAUAUAAUAAAUAAACAAGUCUUAGCUUUUCAGCACUGCAUGUUUACUGGACAAUGUUACGGCAAUCAUUUGACACGUUUGUCAUUAGCAAAAGGUCUGGGGAGGAAAUUGAAUUUAAACAGCUUGUUGGAGCCAAACACAAUAAGACUGAAUUAGUU